rnacentral:rRNA from 1 species
UGGCUCAGGACGAACGCUGGCGGCGUGCCUAAUGCAUGCAAGUCGCACGCACCCCUCGGGGUGAGUGGCGCACGGCUGAGGAACACGUGGGAACAUGCCCAUCGGUGGGGGAUAACGCGGCGAAAGUCACGCUAAUCCCGCAUACGCUCGCGAGAGGAAAGGCGCAAGCCGCCGAUGGAGUGGCCCGCGGCCCAUCAGGUCGUUGGUGGGGUAACGCCUACCAAGCCAAUGACGGGUAGCUGGUCUGAGAGGACAGACAGCCAGACUGGGACUGAGAACGGCCCAGACUCCUACGGGAGCAGCAGCAAGGAUUUUCGCAAUGGGCCAAGCCUGAACGAGCAACGCCGCGUGGAGGAUGAC